UCGCCUGUUUAAUUCAAAAACAUGUCUUCUUGAUUUACAUAGGAAGUCUGACCUGCCCAGUGAAAUAGGAUUUUUAACGGCCGCGGUAUUUUGACCGUGCAAAGGUAGCAUAAUCAUUAGUCUUUUAAUAGAAGGCUGGCAUGAAUGGUUUGACGAGGUGCUGACUGUCUCAUUUAAUUUUUUAUUAGAAUUUAACUUUUUAGUUAAAAGGCUAAAAUUUUUUUGGAAGACGAGAAGACCCUAUAGAGCUUUAUAAUAAUUUUGAUUAAUCAUAUUUAGCUUAAUUUCUUUGCUUAUUCAUCUUAUUAUUCUGUUGGGGUGACAAAAACAUAUAAUUAACUUUUUUAUUUAUUUUACAUUAAUUUAUGAUUUAUCAGAUCCAUUUUUAGUGAUUUUUAGAACAAGUUACCUUAGGGAUAACAGCGUAAUCUUCUUUCGGAGUUCAAAUUUACAAGAAGGCUUGCGACCUCGAUGUUGGAUUAAGAUUAUAGUUAGGUGUAGCCGCUUAAUGUAUAGGUCUGUUCGACCUUUAAUUUCUUACAUGAUCUGAAGGUUCAACCGGA
rnacentral:rRNA from 1 species